rnacentral:rRNA from 1 species
UACGAAGGGGGCUAGCGUUGUUCGGAAUCACUGGGCGUAAAGCGCGCGCAGGCGGCGAUCUACGUCUGGGGGUGAAAGCCCCGGAGCUCAACUCCGGGACUGCCUUGGAUACGGGAUCGCUUGAGGAUUGGAGAGGCAAGGGGGAAUUCCACGUGUAGCGGUGAAAUGCGUAGAGAUGUGGAGGAACACCUGUGGCGAAGGCGCCUUGCUGGCCAAUUACUGACGCUGAGGCGCGAAAGCGUGGGGAGCAAACAGG